rnacentral:rRNA from 1 species
AACGAACGCUGGCGGCAUGCCUAACACAUGCAAGUCGAACGAGACCUUCGGGUCUAGUGGCGCACGGGUGCGUAACGCGUGGGAAUCUACCCUUGGGUUCGGAAUAACAGUUAGAAAUGACUGCUGAUACCGGAUGAUGACGUAAGUCCAAAGAUUUUUCGCCCAAGGAUGAGCCCGCGUAAGAUUAGCUUGUUGGUGGGGUAAUGGCCUACCAAGGCGACGAUCUUUAGCUGGUCUGAGAGGAUGAUCAGCCACACUGGGACUGAGACACGGCCCAGACUCCUACGGGAGGCAGCAGUGGGGAAUAUUGGACAAUGGGCGAAAGCCUUAUCCAGCAAUGCCGCGUGAGUGAUGAAGGCCUUAGGGUUGUAAAGCUCUUUUACCAAGGAUGAUAAUGACAGUACCUGGAGAAUAAGCUCCGGCUAACUCCGUGCCAGCCGCCGCGGUAA